UUCUUUCUCUUCCUCUUUUCCUUUCUCUUCUUUUUCCUCUUCCUCUCCCCAAUUGCUUUCCCCUCCCCCAAAAAAACCAGCAGGGGGAGGAGGAAGAGAAGCGGCUGAAGAAGAAGAAGAAGAAGAAG
rnacentral:ribozyme from 1 species